rnacentral:lncRNA from 1 species
AUGCAAAUAAAUCCAACAUAUGGUAUGUCAUGCUGAAAAAUUUCCUGCUCACAAAGCUGGGUAUUUCCAAAAAGGGCAUUUUUAGCUGUUGAGUCUUUUGAAUGUGUUUGAUUCAAGCACUGCUGUUUCAUGUCGGUCUAGAAUGAAACUUUUUAAAAAAGGAUUUAAGCUUUUAAAUUAAUACACAAUCACUGGCCAUAAUCCAGUAACUUAGCUUUUGAUGUUCUCUUUGUGUGUGUGUGUGUGGAUUUUUUUUUUUUGGGGGGGGGGGGAGGAAUCCUGAAUCUGCUUAAGUUUGUGGUUCCUUGCCUUUAAUAGCCAACAAUGAGAGGAGAGAUUUGGGUGACCAUCUCAUGUGUGCAAGUACAAGCCUUUUCAGCAGUGGGCAUAGAUACGGACCACAUUUUUUAUACCAGUCAUGAUGGGCUAAAGUUUCGCCGAAGCUGAAUUUUGCAGGUUUAAAGGGGUGGAGGUGGAGCAUGGUGAAAACACCCCAGAAGAUUACAUAAAUGUAGAAUGCUGCUACUAGGUUUCUGAGUAGGGCAUUCCAAUGGGACCACGUGUCUCAGUUCUGAAAGCACUUGCAAUGACUGUCAGGCCAAAUUCAAGGUAUCAGUACUACCUUAUACCACCACUUAAAAUGGGAAGUAUUUCUUGGUGAAUAAUAAUAAAAAGAUUCUUUUUAUUUGAAAAUUCAUUUCCCACCGACUCCGGAAAACAAAGAAUACCUACCUCAAUUUUAUGGCAGAUAAAUGGUGCCAUGAAAGUGGGAAGGGGGAAUGUAUGUCACAGUUGUAUCAAUUAAUAUCCCAUUUUAUUUAUUCUAGACAGCCACACCAAAACACUCACCAUUCUACUGCAUUUGUCAUAUCAAAGAAUUGCUAUGCCCUCUGAAUCCAUAAAAGUAUAUAAGGAUUUCUAAUGAGUUUUUUAAAAAACAACAACAACAACAGCGAAAAACAAAGUCAAAUCACAAACUUUCUUGCUGUUUUCAAAAUACUGGUUAUGUGUCCUUCCAAAUGCAUAGGUGUAUCUGAGCUCCCAAGGAUAAGAAUUGUCCACCCUGUGUGCCAUAUGGACCCCCUCUGGAUGCUUACUAGUUGUCAGUAUCUCCUAAGGAAAAUAACGAAGUUGAUGACAGCAUUGAUAUGCCGUGGCAUGUUUUAGUCUCCACUCCUUGUUGCCUUAAGGCUAAGCAAAUGGUUUGAUUCUUGUCAUUUUCUUUUCUGCGCUGAGUGACAUUUGAGUGUGACUUCAGUCUCCUGCUAUUGAUGUUUUCUUUCAACACACGGGGAGAGGGGGAUGUUUGAGCAUGGCACUUCUACUGCCUUUUCUCUAAUCCCACUUUGCAAGUAGGGAGAUCAAGGCAAAAGGUAGUCUAUUUUUCGGCUUUACCCAGCUUAACACCAGGUGUUAAGUUUGUUGCAUUAAGUUUCCAUCUCUCUCUCCCUCUCUGCCCUUUCAAGUCUAAUGUUGCAGAAUGCUUCCCUUCAGCUGACUGCAGUGUCCCUUACAUAUGGCAAUAGUUAGCAUUAGUUUUAUAUGCACCUACUCAAAUAAAUGAUGUGAAAAUAUGUCCAUUUUUAUGUUCUACUCCCCAGGAAAACUAUAGCAUAUGCUGUUGCAUCUACAAGGCCUCAUUUCCAUUCUCACCUGCCAUCUUCCACUGAAGUGAAUGACUGUUCUAUGGAAGAUGCUUGCAGUAUAAGGCCCAGAAGAUACGAGUUUCCCUUCUCUGACAGCAGAAGCAAAUGUACCCAUGGAGGUCAUGGAGCCAGUGAGGUGUGGGAAGAGUCCUAAAGACCAGGUAGAGAGGCUUGUGGAUCACAUCUGGCCCCUUAGCUUGAGAUUCCCCACCCCCUGCAAAAGGAGAGGGGGUCUAAAACCCAAACAGAGAUGAGGAGUUCGUCAAAUUUUGCUGCAAAGCUAGUUUUGCUCAUUAAAAUGCAGCGUCAAAGUCUAAAUGUGUUUCUUUUCCCCCAAAAGCCCAUGUUACCUUCCAC